UUGAGGAGGAGGAAGCCAACACUGUGUGUGUGUGUGUAUAUAUAUUCUCUAAUCUAGCUAUCUAAUCUAUCCUAUUUUAAUUGGGAUAGCCCCCAAAAUAUUGGGACAUAUAAAAAGACAACUCUGUUCCGCAGAGUAGCUGUUGACAUUAUAGUUGCGCAGGCACUUUGACUCUAGAGAACCUUUGGCAAAUCGCACAUCCCCGUGCAUGUGGAUGUCAUCCAUAUCAACUUUCGAAGCCAGUUUCUGCGCCUUGGGUAACGGGGAAUCAGGGUUCCAUUCCGUACAUGGACCCUGAGAAAUGGCUACCACAUGCAAGGAAGGCAGCAGGCGCGCAAAUGACCCACUCCCGACGCGGGAUGGUAGUGACGACAAAUAACAAUACAGAACUCUUUAGAGGCCCUGUAAUUGUAAUGAGUCCACUUGAAAUCCUUUUAACUCUGAUCAAUUGGAGGGAAGUCUGGUGCAGAGCCACUGACCCAUGCGUGAUGCAGCUGAAACUCCACU